rfam:Cajanus cajan Scaffold129046_13, whole genome shotgun sequence.
AUACCCUUCUCGGCCUUUUGAUUAAAAUCAAGUGUAGUACGUGUUCUUAUUGGUUAAAUACAUUAUAUGAGUCAUUGAUUCACAUGAUAUUACAUUUAUUUUUUUAAGGAGAGGGCCCUUGGCAGUAGCUUGCUACUCCUACUGGGAUUGGCAUGUGUUGUCCAUGCCUUGCACAAAACCAGAGCUUGGUACAUUUCAC